UGGGGAAUAUUGCGCAAUGGGGGAACCGUGGACGCAGCAACGCCGCGUGAAGGAUGAAGGCUUUCGGGUUGUAAACUUCUUUGAUGAGGGACGAAAGAAAUGACGGUACCUCAAAAACAAGCCACGGCUAACUACGUGCCAGCAGCCGCGGUAAUACGUAGGUGGCGAGCGUUGUCCGGAAUUACUGGGUGUAAAGGGCGUGUAGGCGGGGAUGCAAGUCAGAUGUGAAAUGCCGGGCUUAACUCCGGAGCUGCAUCUGAAACUGUGUUUCUUGAGUGUCGGAGAGGAAAGCGGAAUUCCCAGUGUAGCGGUGAAAUGCGUAGAUAUUGGGAGGAACACCAGUGGCGAAGGCGGCUUUCUGGACGAU
rnacentral:rRNA from 1 species